rnacentral:lncRNA from 1 species
GAAAGAGGCAUGAUGGGAGGAAGAAGGCUGUCCCUUGGUAGAAGCCAUAUUUAAAAUGGAGGCUGCUAUUCCACGUGACAGCCAUUUUAAGGAGAAGAACAAUAUGGGAACGGGGAUACUAUUUUAUGUGUCAGCCAUCUUGAGACAAGGAAAAUCUAAAAUUCCAGGCUUUUGUUUUAUGGUUUUUAGGUGAAGAUCUGUUCUGGGACUGCUUCAAGCUGAUAAAAUGAUGAAGAUUGGAGAGCCUUGUUUUCCUCUCUCUUGCGAGGAAGCUGUGGAAGGAAGAGCAAGCAGAGAAGUGGCUGUUAAUUCAUUCUCCUGUUUGGGAGGGGCUGGAGAAGCAGGGGAGAAUGGGUAUGUGAUGGAGAGACACAAGAUGGUGGAACCGAGGGAGGAUUACAAGAUGGCAGAGGUGAAGAGUGGUCACAAUAUGGAGGAGGUGAAGAGAGGUCACAAGAUGGCAGAGGUGGAGAGCCACAGUAUGAUGGAGGUGAAGAGGAGGCAUAAGAUGGCGAAGGAGAAGAGGCACCUGAGAAGGUAGAAGAAGAACCAACAAAUUUUUAAGGAGGAGGAGGUAUGAGUGGAGAGUGAUGGGCUGGAUCAAAUGUCAGAAUCAGGAAGGGUAGGGUUGAGAGGGGUAGAUGAUGGAGCCUGGGCUAUAAGUACCUGAGAGGACAAAUAGUUUUGACAGAGAGAGGGGCAAGAGCACAGGUAGAAGAAGGCUUGUAUAUAGGGAAUUUCUGACCAUUUGCCAUUGCAAAUGCCAUUACAAAAGUUGUGUAAAUCAUGC